rnacentral:rRNA from 1 species
GACGAACGCUGGCGGCGUGCCUAAUACAUGCAAGUCGAGCGAAGUUUUUCUGGUGCUUGCACUAGAAAAACUUAGCGGCGAACGGGUGAGUAACACGUAAAGAACCUGCCUCAUAGACUGGGACAACUAUUGGAAACGAUAGCUAAUACCGGAUAACAGUAUUUCUCGCAUGAGAGAUAUUUAAAAGUUGGUUAUGCUAACACUAUGAGAUGGCUUUGCGGUGCAUUAGCUAGUUGGUGGGGUAAAGGCCCACCAAGGCGACGAUGCAUAGCCGACCUGAGAGGGUGAUCGGCCACACUGGGACUGAGACACGGCCCAGACUCCUACGGGAGGCAGCAGUAGGGAAUCUUCCGCAAUGGGCGAAAGCCUGACGGAGCAACGCCGCGCGAGUGAAGAAGGAUUUCGGUUCGUAAAGCUCUGUUGUUAGGGAAGAAUGGAUAUGUAGUAACUAUACAUGUAAGAGACGGUACCUAACCAGAAAGCCACGGCUAACUACGUG